UAUAAUGGUGUCCUGUAAAAGGGUUGGAUCUGACGCCCCUAGGAGGGUACUAUAGGCUCUCCUUCUCAACUCCUGCUCAAUGCGUCCGCGACGUGCAGAACGGUAACUUGUCGCCUAGAUCCAAGCUUGGGUACACGGGGAAACCCAACCCCUUGGGCGGAUGGGCGGCAAGGCUGAAUUGAGA
rnacentral:ribozyme from 1 species